AAGGUUACUUUCCUGCCCAUCUGUUGAGUGACAGUCCUGUUUUAUAGUAGGAAUUUUGUAUUCAUGGUACUUUUUUUAAAGUUGUUUUUCCAGUGUAAAGCACUGAUAUGUCUUUGUGUAUGAUUUAACAAUCUGAAGUUACAUCGAGUUUAUUUAAGAAGUUUAUGUUGUGCUGUUGUCUCAUUGAAAUCUUUUUGACUUGGGUACACCGUGAUCAUGUGGAAUAACUUGGACAAUUGUUGAGUGCAUAUAUUAAAGGAAUAAUGCAUUAUGUUAUAAACUGUG